rnacentral:SRP_RNA from 1 species
GCCGGAUGCUGUGGCACAUGCCUAGAGUCCCAGCUACCCGGGAGGCUGAGGCAGGAAGAUUGCUUGAGCCCAGGAGUUCUGGGCUGUAGUGUGCUAUGCUGAUCCGGUGUUCGCACUAAGUUCUCCACCAAUAUGGUGACCUCCCGGGAGUGGAGGACCACCAGGUUGCCUAAGGAGGGGUGAACCAGCCCAGGUCAGAAACAGAGCAGGUCAAAACGCUUGAGCUGAUCAGUAGUGGGAUCGCACCUGUGAAUAGCCACUGCACUCCAGCCUGGGCAACAUAGCGAGACCCCAUCUUU